AGAACCCGGUGGGCUCUCCAUGCAUUAUUGGCAGCACUUUUAUCCAGGGGCACAGAGAGGGAAUAGGGUUACUGGAAACAGGGAGUGUAGCUCAAGGAAUUGUUCUCUCUCUGGAGUGGAUAAGUUGUUUGACCUACUGACUCAUUUCACAGGAAUUAGGAAAACAACCUAGUGUGGUUUUUAUUGUUAGUCCUGGAGGAUUCCAAAAUCUGUGUGCCUACAAAUAAGAUGAGCUAGGGACAGGGAGCGCUGGCAUUUGGCGUUUCUACUUGCCUCUUUUCCUGGUGGAAUCCGAUCCUCUGCUUCCAGGACAAGUCCUGCGCUUGGGAUCCUUUGUACGACCAUUCACAGGUGCACGUCUUCCGAACAAAUGCCUCCUGAGGAUUUCUGUGCCUGGAAAAUAUCUGUUAACAGAUUGCUUUUACACCUAUUUAUUUGGUGCUACUUCUACUCCUCAGGACCAAAGCUGGCUUUCACGGUUUACUCAUGUACUUACUGAUGAAACCCUGAAACUUGGAGCCAGUGACUGUUCAGAGGUCCAUAUGAAGAUGUGCUGAAGAUGUAAAGGACCGAGCAGUAAAGAGUGCUGGCUGAAUCCCUGGGCUGGGAAUCAGGCAUGUUGGAGUUUGAGUCCUGGUCUGCCACUCCAGCUCUGUGACCAACAGGAAGUCAUGUACCCUUUCUAAGUCUCUAGCCCAUCUUCUGAAAGAUGAAGAUGCUACCACCAACCAUGUUAGUGGUUGUGAAUGCCAACAAAGUCCAUGUGAAGCACAUGGCACAGUGUCUGCUGUGGACUAAGUGUUCCAAAAAUGGAAGCUAUGACAAUUUCACAGAGUACUCUUCCCAUCAUUUUUCAGUUCAUUUUGGCCUUUUCCCUCGAAAUCACUCCAGUGUUCUGAUCCAGCUGAUAAAACACCAAACAUUCAUAUAGUGCUUUAAAAGUGACCCACUGUUUUUAUAGACGCAUUACGUAUGACCCUAACAACCACUGCAAUAUAGAAAUUCGCAUCUCCAUUCUCCAGAUCAGGAAACUGAAGCUCGGAAAAGUUCAAUGAUUUGCCCAGGAUCACAUAGCUAGUAAGCAGCCCAGCCAGAUCCUGUGUUAACCUGUUCAUCCACUUCCUAUAAGAAAACAUCUUAAGGCAUGUGGGGCAACAAAGAAAGACUUAAAGCUGUGUGGCCGCUCGUCAGGACAGUGCCAGCUGCACCUACAGUCCGGCUGGAAUACUCCACUUAGGACUAUUGUGUCCCAUGUCCCAAACAUUUUGAAGCCACAUCUUAAAGAAGUGUCCUGCUCAGAUGCAGUUCUUGUGAAAUCCGCAGGCCCCAAGGGAAGUGACUUUAAUCCAGUUUGCUCAUGCAAGGACAGACUGGCAUUGCACAUCCAGGAAAACAAUGGAUUUGUACUGUUCAGCUUUUGCCAUGCAAGGAGUUCCUGGUGUCAUUUAUCAAUUUACAUCUCAGGCUCCAGCUUCACUAUCAGAUUUGGAAGAAAAAAAGUUACAAAGAAAGGCAGCUUGCUGAGAAACAGCAGAAGCAUGACAGUACAGACUGGGUUUUGAAAUGGAGACACAUUCUCAUGGCUUGUGGGCUGAGAGACACCAAGAAAGGAUUUUGUUCUUGAAAGAUGAUUGUUUUAAUGCUGGAGAUGGAGAGUUUUGACAAUUUUAAGUGCAUGUUCUGUGUGUAAGAGUCAUUACGUGUUUUUUUUUUUUUUUUUUUUCUUUCAGAUGUUGCCAUGCCUUAAAAUUGCUGAUGAUUAAAAUAGAACAUCCUGAGUUACAGAAAUUCAGCCCUACCGUAUCCUGGCCUAAAAAUACAGAACAAUCAAAUUGAUUGUUGGAAAUGAGAGGCUAGGGAGGGUUGGAAACAUGCUAAUGUUUACUGAGUAAAAUCUUUCCUUCUCCGUAGAGUUGCCCUUGCAGCUGAAAGUCACUGAAAGACUCAACAAAAUAAGCGGAUCCCACUUGCUCUCACUCUGUUCUAGUUUGCAUGACCUGGAAAGAGAAUGAAUGAGCCCUUUUAAAUUUGUCAACUGGUUUUCUUCCAUCUCCUUCCUAGUGAGCCACAGGGUUUUUUGCUGUUAACUGGGUAGCCAGUCUCUUCAUGCAGACUUGUUUUCAGGAAACUAGCGUCUUGCUUCAUGUGAAAACAGGGACCCAACUC